AUACGUAGGGGGCGAGCGUUGUCCGGAAUUACUGGGCGUAAAGGGUGCGUAGGCGGCCUUUUAAGUCAGAUGUGAAAGGCUGCGGCUUAACCGCAGGACUGCAUUUGAAACUGGAAGGCUUGAGUGUCGGAGAGGGUAGUGGAAUUCCCAGUGUAGCGGUGAAAUGCGUAGAUAUUGGGAGGAACACCAGUGGCGAAGGCGACUACCUGGACGAUAACUGACGCUGAGGCACGAAAGCUAGGGGAGCAAACAGGAUUAGAUACCCUGGUAGUCCUAGCCGUAAACGAUGGGUACUAGGUGUAGGUGGUUUCGAUACCAUCUGUGCCGCAGUUAACGCAAUAAGUACCCCGCCUGGGGAGUACGGUCGCAAGACUGAA
rnacentral:rRNA from 1 species